CGGCCCUACGGGUUGUAAACUGCUUUUAUACGGGAAUAAACCUUGAUACGUGUAUCAAGCUGAAUGUACUGUAAGAAUAAGGAUCGGCUAACUCCGUGC
rnacentral:rRNA from 1 species